UACGAAGGGGGCUAGCGUUGCUCGGAUUUACUGGGCGUAAAGCGUGUGUAGGUGGUCAAGAAAGUCGGUUGUGAAAUCCCUGGGCUUAACCUGGGAACUGCUUCCGAUACUUCAUGACUCGAAUUCGGUAGAGGGAGGCGGAACUCCAGGUGUAGCGGUGAAAUGCGUAGAUAUCUGGAAGAACACCAAUGGCGAAGGCAACCUCCUGGGCCUGAAUUGACACUGAGACACGAAAGCGUGGGGAUCAAACAGG
rnacentral:rRNA from 1 species